CAAUGAACUUAAGAUUCAUGUAUAAAGAUAUUUUUUUUGUUAGAA
rnacentral:tRNA from 1 species